rnacentral:tRNA from 1 species
UCCGAGAUCGUCUAAUGGUAGGACUACAGCCUCUGGAGCUGUGUAUCUUGGUUCGAAUCCAAGUCUCGGAACCA